rnacentral:lncRNA from 1 species
AAAACCCAAGAGGACCGGGUUUGGAUGAACUUGUGGACAGCUGAAUACCUGGAAGUUCCUGGAGAGUGGCACACCCAGGGAGGGCAUGGAAGCUCUGCAUCCCCUUUCCCAUACAUCGCCCUGUGCAUCUUUUCAUCUAUAUCCUUUAUAAUAAACCAGUAACGGUAAGUAAAUGUUGCCCUGAGUUCUGUGAGGCAACUAGCAAAUUAACCAAACCCAAAGAGGGGGUCAUGGGAACCCCAAUUUGAAGCUGGUCAGUCAGAAGGUAAGGAGGCCCAGAUUUACAAUGGACUGGGGACAGUUUUGAAGACUGAGCCCUCAUUCUGUGGGAUUUGAUGCUGUCUCCAGGUAGACAGUGUCAGAAUUUAACUAGAUGGCGCGUAGCUGCUGUCUGCUGUGUUGAUUGUUGUGUGGGAGCAGAGGAAAAACAUGGUUUGAGAGCUUUUCCCUAGGCUUCCAAUACCCUCAGGUGGGUGUCAGGAGCAUUCCUUUUCCUUUUGUGUUUGGCUCAUACCUCUUCCAUCUUUUCUCCAGUAAACUCUGGGAGUGUGGUUAGUUUCCAGCACAGCUUCCUUCCUAGGUUGCUAGCUUGCUUGCUUGCUUGCUUGCUUGCUUGUUUCCUUCCUUCCUUCCUUCUCUCUUUCUUCCCUCCCUCCCUCCCUCCCUUCCUUCUUUCCUUUUUUUAAAAUUUAUUAUUAUUAUCUUGAGACAGAGUCUUGCUCUGUCGCCCAGGCUGGAGUGCAAUGGCACCAUCUCAGCUCACUGCAACCUCCACCUCCCAGGCUCAAGCGAUUCUCAGGUCUUGGCUUCCUGAGUAGCUGGGGUUACAGGCACGCACCACCAUGCCCAGCUAAUUUUUGUGCUUCCAGUAGAGAUGGGGUUUCGCCAUGUUGUCCAGGCUGGUCUCCAACUGCUGACCUCAAGUGAUCUGCCCACCUUGGCCUCCCAAAGUCCCGGGAUUACAGGUGAGAGCCACCACGCCAGACCCUACAGCCUUUUUUCUUGUGCCGCCACUAGAGCAGGGAGCCAGAAACAGUCUCUCUCUUAGGCUCCUUCAGUCAUGAGCCUCCAGUGUUCACAGCUCAAGAUCUAGCGUGGUCCCACCAAAGCCUCUCACCUUGGCCUGGAUGUGAGAGAAAAGCACCCAUUCUCGUUCCCCACAGGAGGGGAUAUAAUGCCAUAAUACUGAAUAUUUUUCCAAAGACAUUUCUGCUCCAAGCUUCUUCAAUUCAACAAUUCUAUGAGAUAUGAGGUAAGUAUAGAUCUAUGGGUUAUUAAAAACAGUCUUUCCUGUGCCAAUCCUACAUAGUAAGUCUAGACCAUAUUUUUCGGAUGUAAGUCUAUUUGCUACUUACUAUAUUUAUAUUUUGUUAAUUAUUUUGGGAAACUGGACAAAAUAGGGUAAGCAUCGUAUGAUACUUAAAACUGCUGAGAAAGAAAUAAUGUUAUUAUUCUACCUUGAUUUUAUAGCUGAGGAAAAUAAGGCAUAAAGAAGUGAAAUAAUGUUUAACCAAUAUUACAUAUUUUAUCAGGGUGCUGGGAACUUAAUUUCUUUGAUUUAUUUCCUGUAGCCAUACCCAUCAUAGUUUUGCUAACAGUGUGACUGGGAGUAGUGAGAUAUAAAAUAAAUUUGGGCCUCAGUUUCCUCACCUUUAACCUAAUUUUCUCAAAAAAUUAACAUAGUAAUGUUAAGUAAAGUCGAUAGCGGGGGCUGGUCCAAUGUGGGUACCCAGAAAAUAGAAGCAUCACCCUUCCUUUACCACUUUUCUCCAUGCUUCUUCCCUAAACCCACACACAUUUCUAAAAAAUUCCAAUAUGAUUUUAAAAUAACAUAUACAUUUACUUAAAUCUUUGAAUUUGAAAUUACAUUUCGAAUUUGAAACAACAUUUGAAUUUGAAACAACAUUUUGACAUCUUUUGUUCUAUUGUAAGUCCUAGGGCAGAAAGGAGACGUCUGGGGGCAGGGUGGAGGUUGCUGUGUCUGAAUGUAAAGAGGGAAAGCUGUGUCUGAAUGUAAAGAUUUGUCAUAUGACAAAUCUUAUGAAGACAUACAUAUAUUCUCGAUUGGAAAGAGAAGAUGAUUUUUGGUUCUACAAUUCUCACUGCUGACCUGUGGAGAAAGGAUUUUGGAAGAAUUACUGCCCACUGGGUAAUUUCAGUGACAGCUUGAUGAAGGAAUGAUGACCUAGUGUGCAUGGGAGAAAGAACUUUGGCCUGGGAGUCAUACCAAGUCUGAAUAAUGGCUCUGUCAUUGCCUCCCUGGGUAAUAUGAGGUCUGAGUCGAGUUAACAUCUGAUGCCUUACCAUCACGCGUGAUGCUAAUCUUGGGAUUUAAGGCCAUGUAUGUCCAGCCUUGGGGAGUUAUUUUGGCACACUUAGGUUUUUAUGUUUUUAGCCUGUAAAAUAUGGAUGUAUAUAAUAUGAUACCCCUGAUCAAUUGCAGAUUUUGUAUUCUGAGACAUGAUACUGCAUUGAUAUCCUCAUAUUAACUUACAUUGUUAAUACUAUUUCAAUUAUAUUCCCAGUGACGAGGAGGAGAAUUUAAGAUAAUGAUUUUUUAAAUGUCAUUACAUUUUCCUAUUUCUAAGAUGGCUGUGACAUUAACAAACAUCAUUAUUUUGAUAACAGCUUUUCCAGGAAACAAUUAUGCUCCCUUAAAUAAACAAAAAUACUGUCCAAUUAGCCAACAGCAUCAUGUAUUUAUAUAAUUAAAUAUUAUUUAAAAUUUUAAUACAUCUUAGAAUCUAAAAUUUCGAAGAAUUGAACAUUUCUUCACAUUCAGGCUCUAAAAACAUAAUUACUAUUGAUUUUUGACUGUUUUGUAUGGCAACAUGGAGACGUACUACUUCUUUAGUAGAUUUGUGAUUGAGACCCAUUUAAUACCAAUAAAAUUAACAGAAUAAUUUUGUGGUAAGAAAAAAAGAUUGAGGUUUUAUCUACAUUUCUGAUUUGAAUAAAAUAAUAGUACAUUUUUUCUCUGAAUUUGUCUAUCAUGUAAAAUUAAACAACUUUUCAUUGUUGCUUGUUUGUUUUGCUUUGUUUUGUUGAGACAGGGUCUUCCCCAUCACCCAGGCUGGAGUGCUGUGGUAUGGUCUUGGCUCACUGCAGCAUUCACCUCUUGGGUUCAGGUGAUCCUCCCACCUCAGCCUCCCAAGUAGCUGGGACUACAGGUGCAACUACCACUCUCAGCUAAUUUUGUUAAUUUUUUUGUAGAGACAAGGUCACGGUAUGUUGCCCAGAUGGUCUCAGACUCCUGGACUCAAGUGAUUCUCCUGUCUUGGCCUCCCAAAGUGCUGGGAUUACAGGAAUGAGCCACCAUGCCUAGCCAGAGGCCACUGACAACUUUUGCCAGGUUGAUUUUUAGUGCCUUGCUAAUGUUCCUUCACUAUGUUAGAAUCAGCCAUGCUCUCUCUCCAGUUUUGCAAAUGCUUGAUCUACUCAAAAAGGUUUGAUAGUUACAAGAGCCUUUAAUUGCAGUGCCUGACAUGUCAGGAAACUCUUCUAUAGUUUUCCUGAUGUCUUGAUGACAAGAAUUUCAGUUACAGUUUUGGGUAUUUUUCUUCUAAAGUCCUAUAAAGUAUUUGGUUGUUGUUUUAUAUUUUUUAAGUUGGUUAUUCUUCCAGUGAUACAAAUUUACUUACCUUCUAAAAGUAAUGUCAGGCCUCUGAGCUCAAGCUAAGCCAUCAUACCCCUGUGACCUGCACGUACGCAUCGAGAUGGCUAGUUCCUGCCUUAACUGAUGACAUUCCACCACAAAAGAAGUGAAAAUGGCCUGUUCCUGCCUUAACUGAUGAUAUUGUCUUGUGAAAUUCCUUCUCCUGGCUCAUCCUGGCUCAAAAGCUCCCCCAGUGAGUACCUUGUGACCCCCACUGCUGCCCGCCAGAGAACAACCCCCUUUGACUGUAAUUUUCCUUUACCACCCAAAUUCUAUAAAACGGCCCCACCCCAUUUCCCUUCGCUGACUCUCUUUUUGGACUCAGCUCGCCUGCACCGAGGUGAAAUAAACAGCCAUGUUGCUCACACAAAGCCUGUUUGGUGGUCUCUUCACAUGGACGCACAUGAAAUUUGGUGCCGUGACUCGGAUCGGAGGACCUCCCUUGGGAGAUCAAUCCCCCAUCCUCCUGUUCUUUGCUCUGUGAGAAAGAUCCACCUAUGACCUCAGGUCCUCAGACCAACCAGCCCAAGAAACAUCUCACCAAUUUCAAAUCCAGUAAGCAGCCUCUUUUUACUCUCUUCUCCAACCUCCCUCACUAUCCCUCAACCUCUUUCUCCUUUCAAUCUUGGUGCCACACUUCAAUCUCUCCCUUCUCUUAAUUUCAAUUCCUUUCAUUUUCUGGUAGAGACAAAGGGGACACGUUUUAUCCGUGGAACCAAAACUCUGGUGCCAGUCAGGGACUAGGGAAGGCAGCCUUCCUUUGGUGUUUAAUCAUUGCAGGGACACCUCUCUGAUUAUUCACCCAGGUUUCAGAGGUGUCAGACCACGCAGGGACACCUGCCUUGGUCCUUCACCCUUAGCAGCAAGUCCCGCUUUUCUGGGGGAGAGGCAAGUACCCCAACUUCGUAUCUCUGUGCCCCGAUCCCUUAUUUCCACGCCCCAACCUCUUAUAUCUCUGCACCCUGAUCCCUUAUUUCCGUGCCCUGACCUCGUAUCUCUGUGCCCUGACCCCUUCUCUGCUUUUCUGGAGGGCAAGAACCCCCCCACCCCUUCUCCGUGUAUCUACUCUUCUCUGGGCUUGCCUCCUUCACUAUGGGCAAGCUUCCACCUUCCAUUCCUCCUUCUCCCUUAGCCUGUGUUCUUAAGAACUUAAAACCUCUUCAACUUUCACCUGACCUAAAAUCUAAGCAUCUUAUUUUCUUCUGCAAUGCCGCUUGACCCC